UGCCAGCAGCCGCGGUAACACGGGGGGCGCAAGCGUUAUUCGGAAUUAUUGGGCGUAAAGGGCGCGCAGGCGGCCUUGUCCGUCAGGUGUGAAAGCUCGGGGCUCAACCCUGGACGUGCAUUUGAAACAGCAAGACUUGAAUACUGGAGAGGAGAGCGGAAUUCCUGGUGUAGAGGUGAAAUUCGUAGAUAUCAGGAGGAACACCGAUGGCGAAGGCAUCUCUCUGGGCCGAUAUUGACGCUGAGGCGCGAAGGCGUGGGUAGCGAACGGGAUUAGAUA
rnacentral:rRNA from 1 species